AGUGAACGCUGGCGGCAUGCCUAACACAUGCAAGUCGAGCGAGCGGCGGACGGGUGAGUAAUGUCUCGGAAACUUGCCGCUUGCGGGGGAACACCACUGGGAACGGUAUGCAAUAACGCAAACCAUGGGAUGUGCCUAGAUGGGAUUAGCUAGUCGGUGGGGUAACGGCCUACCUAGGCGACGAUCCGUAGCUGGUCUGAGCGGAUGAUCAGCCACAGUGGAACUGAGACACGGUCCAGACUCCUACGGGAGGCAGCAGUGGGGAAUAUUGCACAAUGGGCGCAAGCCUGAUGCAGCCAUGCCGCGUGUGUGAAGAAGGCCUUCGGGUUGUAAAGCACUUUCAGCGGGGAGGCGUUACCCGCAGAAGAAGCACCGGCUAACUCCGUGCCAGCAGCCGCGGUAAUAC
rnacentral:rRNA from 1 species